AAAUCAAAAGUUUUGUCUUUCAGAAGGUGGAAAUAUAACCAGGCCCCAUCCAUUAAUUCAUUAGAAUCCCAUUAGAGGAUAAUCCACCCCCCUCCAUUCUGUGGGGCUUUAUUAGCUAUUCUUAAAGAGACGGUAACUAGACAGAAAAUACGUCCUUGGAAAUUAGUUAAAAAAAAUAAAUUGUUAAGUGGAGAAAAGUGGCCUGAGAAAACAAUGGGGAUUAGUGCGGCCGAUGUAUCUGCGAUUAAUGGAGAGGAUGGUAGGGCCUGCAGUUGCUUCACAAAAAUCUUGCGGAGCGAAAUCACAGCCAGAAUGAUGCAGUUUUACCACAAUAUAUAAGAAAGUUACAACGAAAACCGAGUAAUGAGCUUUUCUCAGCUUUAACAGGAACAGAUGCACGAUGACCAUCAAGACACAAAGCAUGAGAGACACCAGGACCAGGAUGAGAGUGCGGUGGGAU